UACAGAGGUCUCAAGCGUUGUUCGGAUUCAUUGGGCGUAAAGGGUGUGUAGGUGGCGCGCUAAGUCGGGUGUGAAAUUUCGGAGCUUAACUCCGAAACUGCAUUCGAUACUGGCGUGCUUGAGGACUGGAGAGGAGACUGGAAUUCAUGGUGUAGCAGUGAAACGCGUAGAGAUCAUGAGGAAGACCAGUGGCGAAGGCGGCUCACUGGCCCGGUACUGACGCUGAGGCGCGAAAGCGUGGGGAGCAAACAGG
rnacentral:rRNA from 1 species